ACACGAGUCGAUGGGGGUUAC
rnacentral:piRNA from 1 species